rnacentral:rRNA from 1 species
GGACUCAGAGAGCUGGACGGCCGUAAGGUCUGUACUAACUCUCUAGUUCUCACUAUGGGACACUCACCUCUGUUCUUCACUGGAUGGAGGUAAAAGCUCUGCGUCGUGGCUCAGCAAUGGGUCAGGCGUACGAGUCGAGUUCCCAUUCGUAAACUUGGAACAAAUUCGAUCGCUCAAGGAAGGCACAAAAGAGCCUUGAAGAGUAUAGCUUGGGAUUUCAGAACAGGACUUCGGUUCGAUGUUUUGUUGGUUUCUAGAAUUGAAGUA